rnacentral:rRNA from 1 species
UACGGAGGGUGCAAGCGUUAAUCGGAAUUACUGGGCGUAAAGCGCACGCAGGUGGCUGAGUCAGUCGAUUGUGAAAGCCCUGGGCUUAACCUGGGAAUUGCAGUCGAUACUACUCAGCUAGAGUAUGGGAGAGGGCAGUGGAAUUCCCGGUGUAGCGGUGAAAUGCGUAGAUAUCGUUUGGAACGCAAAUGGUGAAAACAGGUCGCUGGGGCUGUGCUGACGCUGAGACACGAAAGCCAGGGGAGCAAACGGG